rnacentral:rRNA from 1 species
UAUGUGAUCGUCUCUCGCAUAUCAAUAAGCGGAGGAAAAGAAACUAACAAGGAUUCCCCUAGUAACGGCGAGUGAAGCGGGAAGAGCUCAAAUUUGAAAUCUUAAAGGGUUUCCCUUUACGAAUUGUAGUUUAAAGAAGUGUUUUCUGUUGAGGUUUUGGUAAAAGUUCUUUGGAAUAGGACAUCAUAGAGGGUGAGAAUCCCGUAUUUGACCUUUACUUUCAACUUUGUGAUACCCUUUCAAAGAGUCGGAUUGUUUGGGAAUGCAGUCCAAAAUGGGUGGUAAAUUGCAUCUAAAGCUAAAUAUUGGCGAGGAGACCGAUAGCGAACAAGUACCGUGAGGGAAAGAUGAAAAGAACUUUGAAAAGAGAGUUAGACAGUACGUGAAAUUGUCAAAAGGGAAGCGUUUGACACCAGUGUUGUUUUUCUGAAAAUCAAUUAAAGAACUGUUUAUGCUAAGCUGUUUAGACUUUAUCAGCUAAUCUGUUUAGUUUUGAGCUUUUCUUUAAUGCAGCUUUUCAGUUAACAAGUCAACAUCAAUUUCUUUUGCUGUAAAAAAGCUUGAGGAAGGUGGCUUGAGAUUCGUCUUAAGUGUUUAUAGCCUCUUGCCUAUGCAGUCGGAGAGAUUGAGGUCUGCAGCGUAGAUCCUUCGGGGCUAAAUGCAUUUGUGCUAAGUUAUAGCAUUUUAUAGACAACUUGUUGACUAUGAUUUGUCUUGUAGCUUACUCGCUUAUGUUAUUUUACCUACGCUUAGGAUGUUGAUCUACAGAGCGAGAGU